rnacentral:rRNA from 1 species
AUUAUGGCUUAGGACGAAACGCUGGCGGCGUGCUUAACACAUGCAAGUCGAACGGUGAAGCACCUUCCUUUUGGUUGGGUGUGGAUGAGUGGCGAACGGGUGAGUAACACGUGAGUAACCUGCCCCCUUCUUCUGGAUAACCGCAUGAAAGUGUGGCUAAUACGGGAUAUUCUGUGCCUGCUGCAUGGUGGGUGUGGGAAAGAUGCGCCUUUGGGUGUUUUUGGUGGGGGAUGGGCUCGCGGCCUAUCAGCUUGUUGGUGGGGUGAUGGCCUACCAAGGCGGUGACGGGUAGCCGGCCUGAGAGGGUGGACGGUCACACUGGGACUGAGACACGGCCCAGACUCCUACGGGAGGCAGCAGUGGGGAAUAUUGCACAAUGGGCGCAAGCCUGAUGCAGCGACGCCGCGUGAGGGAUGGAGGCCUUCGGGUUGUAAACCUCUUUCGCCAGUGAAGCAGGCCUGUCCCUUGUGGUUGGGUUGACGGUAGCUGGAUAAGAAGCGCCGGCUAACUACGUGCCAGCAGCCGCGGUAAUACGUAGGGCGCGAGCGUUGUCCGGAAUUAUUGGGCGUAAAGAGCUCGUAGGCGGCUGGUCGCGUCUGUCGUGAAAUCCUCUGGCUUAACUGGGGGCUUGCGGUGGGUACGGGCCGGCUUGAGUGCGGUAGGGGAGACUGGAACUCCUGGUGUAGCGGUGGAAUGCGCAGAUAUCAGGAAGAACACCGGUGGCGAAGGCGGGUCUCUGGGCCGUUACUGACGCUGAGGAGCGAAAGCGUGGGGAGCGAACAGGAUUAGAUACCCUGGUAGUCCACGCCGUAAACGUUGGGCACUAGGUGUGGGGGGCCUUUUCCGGGUCUUCCGCGCCGUAGCUAACGCAUUAAGUGCCCCGCCUGGGGAGUACGGCCGCAAGGCUAAAACUCAAAGGAAUUGACGGGGGCCCGCACAAGCGGCGGAGCAUGCGGAUUAAUUCGAUGCAACGCGAAGAACCUUACCAAGGCUUGACAUGUGCCGGUCGGCUCCGGAGACGGGGUUUCCUCCUUGUGGGGCCGGUUCACAGGUGGUGCAUGGUUGUCGUCAGCUCGUGUCGUGAGAUGUCGGGUUAAGUCCCGCAACGAGCGCAACCCUUGUCCCGUGUUGCCAGCACGUUGUGGUGGGGACUCGCGGGAGACUGCCGGGGUCAACUCGGAGGAAGGUGGGGAUGACGUCAAAUCAUCAUGCCCCUUAUGUCUUGGGCUUCACGCAUGCUACAAUGGCCGGUACAGAGGGCUGCGAUACCGUGAGGUGGAGCGAACCCCUUAAAGCCGGUCUCAGUUCGGAUCGGUGUCUGCAACUCGACACCGUGAAGUUGGAGUCGCUAGUAAUCGCAGAUCAGCAACGCUGCGGUGAAUACGUUCUCGGGCCUUGCACACACCGCCCGUC